GACGAACGCUGGCGGCGUGCUUAACACAUGCAAGUCGAACGGAAAGGCCCUGCUUUUGUGGGGUGCUCGAGUGGCGAACGGGUGAGUAACACGUGAGUAACCUGCCCUUGACUUUGGGAUAACUUCAGGAAACUGGGGCUAAUACCGGAUAGGAGCUCCUGCUGCAUGGUGGGGGUUGGAAAGUUUCGGCGGUUGGGGAUGGACUCGCGGCUUAUCAGCUUGUUGGUGGGGUAGUGGCUACCAAGGCCUUGACGGGUAGCCGGCCUUAGAGGGUGACCGGCCACAUUGGGACUGAGAUACGGCCCAGACUCCUACGGGAGGCAGCAGUGGAGAAUAUUGCACAAUGGGCGGAAGCCUGAUGCAGCAACGCCGCGUGCGGGAUGACGGCCUUCGGGUUGUAAACCGCUUUCGCCUGUGACGAAGCGUGAGUGACGGUAAUGGGUAAAGAAGCACCGGCUAACUACGUG
rnacentral:rRNA from 1 species